AAACCAUGCAUCGGACAUUUUCUAAUUAACUCAUUGAAUUGCUCUCAUGCUUCAUAUAAUGCUUCAUCACUAGAUUGCCGAAAGGAUAUAAUAUCAUUCAUUAUUUU
rfam:Gossypium raimondii Chr06_contig_698, whole genome shotgun sequence.